rnacentral:rRNA from 1 species
CCUACGGGUGGCUGCAGUGGGGAAUAUUGCACAAUGGGCACAAGCCUGAUGCAGCCAUGCCGCGUGUGUGAAGAAGGCCUUCGGGUUGUAAAGCACUUUCAGCGGGGAGGAAGGCGGUGAGGUUAAUAACCUCAUCGAUUGACGUUACCCGCAGAAGAAGCACCGGCUAACUCCGUGCCAGCAGCCGCGGUAAUACGGAGGGUGCAAGCGUUAAUCGGAAUUACUGGGCGUAAAGCGCACGCAGGCGGUCUGUCAAGUCGGAUGUGAAAUCCCCGGGCUCAACCUGGGAACUGCAUUCGAAACUGGCAGGCUAGAGUCGUGUAGAGGGGGGUAGAAUUCCAGGUGUAGCGGUGAAAUGCGUAGAGAUCUGGAGGAAUACCGGUGGCGAAGGCGGCCCCCUGGACAAAGACUGACGCUCAGGUGCGAAAGCGUGGGGAGCAAACAGGAUUAGAUACCCCUGUAGUC